rfam:Myotis brandtii contig269521, whole genome shotgun sequence.
GCUGCUGUGGCUCAGUGGAUAGAGCGUCCGCCUCUGGGCUGAAAGGUCCCAGGUUCGAUUCCUGGUCAGGGCA